GUCUUAAUUAUAGCCUAUAUAUAUAUAUAUAUUUAUUCU
rnacentral:rRNA from 1 species